UACGUAGGCAGCAAGCGUUUGUUCGGAAUUACUGGGCGUAAAGAGUGUGUAGGCGGUGCUCUAAGUUCGUUGUGAAAUCUCCCGGCUUAACUGGGAGGGUGCGGCGGAAACUGGAGUGCUUGAGCGCGGGAGAGGAAAGCGGAAUUCCUGGUGUAGCGGUGAAAUGCGUAGAUAUCGGAAGGAACAUCAGUGGCGAAAGCGGCUUCCUGGACCAGUACCGACGUCAGGCACGAAAGCGUGGGGAGCAAACAGG
rnacentral:rRNA from 1 species